rnacentral:rRNA from 1 species
UACGAAGGGGGCUAGCGUUGCUCGGAAUCACUGGGCGUAAAGCGCACGUAGGCGGCUUUUUAAGUCAGAGGUGAAAUCCUGGAGCUCAACUCCAGAACUGCCUUUGAUACUGGAGAGCUUGAGUCCGGGAGAGGUGAGUGGAACUGCGAGUGUAGAGGUGAAAUUCGUAGAUAUUCGCAAGAACACCAGUGGCGAAGGCGGCUCGCUGGCCCGAUACUGACGCUGAGGCACGAAAGCGUGGGGAGCAAACAGG